ACACUGGUUUAAUUGACUUACUCUGUUGGAGUACAGUUUUCUAAGAAAGCGAAGGAGAAGUUUGCAGCCGGACUGUUUAUUUAUGAACUUAUUGGCUUGUUGAGGAAAAAGUUUGUCUGCUCAACGUAGGACACAAGUGCCUCCUCCUCCUCCUGACGACGGGGCUUCCAUGCAACAAGGGCUGAGAGCUGACUGGGGCGGUCUUGUGUUCGGUGGUGGUUCCCUUGGUGUGACGGGCCCUGUUCACUCCUUGUAUUGUGGAGCACUGUUUGGGUGAUUUGGUUUGUGCGUCUGUGUGUUUAUUUGUCUUUUUUUUUUGACCGUCACUAGGACGCCUCAGCCUGAACGAAGUUAUCACUGUAAAUUAUUUUUUAACUUGCCUCAGAUGUGUUUUAACAAUUGUAAUAAAUUCAUAUUUUAACUUUG